AAAAGUGAGACUUUAUUGGUUACAUCAUUCCCAUGGUCACAAAGAGAGCCCAGCGGUUGCUCAGGAAACCCCAGGUUUCCACGGUGGAGCUUGACAAUGCCCUUCUUGUGUGGUGCAUACAUAGGGGCUUCUAGAACUUUCCAACCGCAAAUGCUGUAAUGGGCCUCCCUCAGCCAGCCCUGAGGGGUUUCCUCUGUGGAAGCCAAGGCCUCCAGCUGCACGAGGCUUCUGUGUUGCUGCGAAGGGGCAGGCCUGCUCCCCUCCUGUAGCAUACGCCUGGACAGCUGGUCACCUCUGUCCGAUGGCAGUGGCAGGAUAGGGGAUGAUAUCUAGUGGGGAACUUGCAACAGAAAGGCCAUUUGGCUUCUAGGCAAUGACUGUGUACAUGCCAGAGGAUCCUGUUUUCCAGGGACAUUCUGGCCUCAUGGAGGACACCAUGGCAGUGUCCACUCAUGGGCCGGCGGGGGAUUCUCACCUGGAACUUGCCUGCAAGGGCAGAAAGGAAGGCUUUGGGGCACGCAGCACCCGAGAUUGGGAUGGUGAUACGGUUGAUGAGCCAAUUCAAGUGCCCUCUUGCUUCACCCUGGCAUCCUCUAAAGGAAGUCCAGACAUUUUCUCAGCCACAGGGAACGUGUAAUAGAAGCUAUAAAUUGAGAAAGACCCCUGGGCUUAUCUGGAGGGACAGCAGAAAGUGGGGAACACUGCCAAGGGACAGAGAGAGAAGAGGCAACACCAGGAAGAAGAUAAAGCAGGUCAGACUCUAAGGCUCAGGCAGGAGCACCAGGGGACCUAGAUGCCUGUAGACCCCCACAGGAGUGUCAGAUCCACAAGGAAGGAAACUUGCACAUCUCGCUCACUGUACAGCGCAGGCGCAUAGCCGGUGUGCACUAACCAUCUGCUGACUGACAACUGAGGGCCGCAGAGACAAGUGGGAGUCAGACCGUCCUGGGAGGCAUCAUUAAGGAGCCCACCUCCUCCAGUUUGAUUCACUGCGAGUAGUACCGCAGCUUCAAAGUCUCCUGAAGCAGAUGUCCUCCACCCUGGCUGCCCAUCGAAGUCACACAGGGAACUCUAGGAAAAGAUACUGGUCCUUGGGACCCUUCCACAGAGAUAAGUAUUGACUAGGCUGCUGUGGGGCUGAGGGAUUUGGCAGUUUUUCAACUUCCUCCAGUGAUUUGAGUGUGCGGCUGGGGCUGAGAACCAUGAGUCUAAGGGGGAAGUGAGCUCUUUCAUUGCAUGUUCCAGCCUAUUAGGUGGAAGAAACUAUUCGGAAGUCCAUUCUUUCCACCUUGGAAAAUGAGGCGCCAUCUUGUAGAUCUUAUUUUUGGGUUCUUCCAACCAAUGGUCUUCUGUGGAAUUGAGUGCUGUGGGCUCGAGGAGGAACAAAGCCGGGGUGCCAGCUUUUCUUCCUUCUCUUGGAACAUCAGCUUGUGGGGGUGGGUGGGACUUCUGCAGGGUGGCUCAGCUGGGCUUGGGAGGGAAGCUUUGACUGCGCCCACGAGACCCUUAGAAAAAAGUCACCACGAGAUAUUAAAUGUCAUCACUUUCAAAUUGCCACGAUUACAUAUAUGUAACUUGGAAUAAUUUUAAAAGCCACUUGAAAGAUCCUCUGAAGAUGUGUGGACAGAGGAUUAUGCACAGAUAUGCACAUUGGAAACCAUCAACUUCUUCAGCAAGAAGGGAGGGAGGUUAUGACUGGUGAGGGAUGGAACGCAAUGGAGGGGAGAUCUGGUGACAGGGAGAUUAUGUAUAAUGUGAAGCCAAAGAUGUGUAAAAUUCAUACAUAAAAUACAUCUCAGCUGUAUAAAAUACAAAGAAAUAACCCAUGAUAAGAAUUGGAGUCUUUUGAGCCAGCCCUGAUGGCCCAGCGGUUAAAGUUAGGUGUGCUCUGAUUCGGCAUUCCUGGGCACAGAACCACACCACUUGUCUGUGAGUAGCCAUGCUGUGGCAGUGGCUCACGUAGAAGAACUAGAAAGACCUACAACUAGAAUAUACAACUAUGUACUGGGGCUUUGGGGAGGGGAGGAAAAAAAGAGAGGCAGCUCAGCAACAGAUAGCUCAGGGUGAUCUUUCCCAGAAAAAAAAAACCAAAAACAAAAACAGAAUUGCAGUCUUUUGAGCAUUAGUUCAUGGUAUUAGAUAUGAAUUAUUAUUUUUCUUUUUCCUACUUUAACCUUUCCUAUAUUUUGAUUAUUUUCAUAAUCAGAAAAGAAAUUAUAACAAAAAUGUGAAUUGAGUGGCAAGUUGCCUUUCUCCCUGGAGGUAGGAUCUCCACGUUUAACAAAUAAAAAAGAUAGGAUGCUCACUUACAUUUGAAUUUCAGAUAAAUGACUAAUUUUUAGUACAAGUAUAUCCCAAAUAUUGCAUGGGCCAUACUUAUACUAAAAAAGUAUUCAUUACUUAUCUGAAAUCAAAUUUAAUGAGGUAUCUUUUUAAUUUAUCUGUCAACCUUACCUGGAAGAGAAGGUGAGUGGGCCUACGCUAGGUGGGGGAAUUUCCAGUCAGGGCCCGAUUGCUUCCACGGUCCCCAGGACCAGGGCUGUGCUGUUCCCCCUGCCUGAGCCAUUGGAGGGCAUUAUCCUUUGCAAUAGCAGCAUUCUCUCCCAAGUCCUUGGAUCAGUCAUCUUCUUAUUUUUCUGGACUAAAAUACAGCUGCUUCAGUGUAUACAUCUAUUUCAUGCAAAUGGUAGCAAUAAUGUUUGUUUGUAUUGUGUGUUAAAAUUCUCACUGGGCAUCAUGUUCUUAAUCACAGUACAAAUUUGUCUCUCCGAUGGGUCACCCAACAUGUCAGCUUCUUGACCCACCUUCUCUAAGGUAAGGUCUAUGUUUAGUCCCAUUUUGUGGGUGAGGAAACUGAUGCUCAGAGAGAAGGACAGAAACUUGCUCAAGGUCACAUAGCUGGAGGAUGGCAGAGCUACUGCCCUUCCUCAAAUCUGGCACAAAGAAGCAUUUCUCUGCCUUGUGCUCCAUUGUGCCAUCACUGUAUCACUUUAGCUUCUGAAGCAACCUUGUAAGGUAACUAUUGGGUUAGGAAAGCUAAGGCCUCUUGAGUUGCCUUCCCAUCCCAGCAUGAUUCCAUUGGUCUCUUCUUAUCUUUCUUCCUCCUUCCCUCUCUCUCCCCCUCCCUCUCCCUCUCUUCUCCUUUCUC